rnacentral:lncRNA from 1 species
AUGCCUGUGUCUCUUUUUCAGUUGAUGUUCCUGUGUGCUGGGGACAAGGUUCCUACUGAGGGUUGCAGGCGUGGUGUGCAAAGUGUGGAUGGGGGUGGGAGGAGGAGACCUUAUCAAGUGUCAUCCCAGCGAAGGAUGAUGGGAAGCCCACUACAAGUUGUGGCCACAGGCCCCUCCAGUUUUGGGAAAGACAUCCACCCUGCAGAGUCCUGGUCAAAGUUGCUGAGCAUCCGAGGACGACGUGUCGACAUAAUGCCCGUGACUUGCGACGUCAAGUGCCGGCGAGUGGCAUCUGUUAUGUUAAUAAGUCCCUGCGGCAGGCGGGUUCCUAUCAGUAGCCGUGCGCUCCGGCUUAGCCGGUCCCUCUACAGAGACUCGGUUUCUCGCUCCGGGCGCCUCUGGCACCGUGCCGCGGAGAGCCUCAGCAGCUCCGGAUCACCGAUCUUCCCCGAGAAAUAG